rnacentral:lncRNA from 1 species
CCUUACUCUAUUUAUUUGAAGCUUUAUAGAAUUCAGAUUCAAUUCCAUUACUUGUAGCUCUAAUUCAAGUGCGAGUAUGUUUAGAAAAAUUUUAAUCCAUGUAAUCCUUGUUGCAACUUUUGUACACUGCCAACGCGAAGAGGAUUCCUUUCCAAUUAAGGACGAUAUGCGCAUGGUGAAAAUAAAUCCGUCUUUGACAAAAAAUACACUUAUGGUUACAAAAUAUCCUUCUACGACUAAAAAUACACCAAGGAUGAAAAAGGAGAAAGCAGGUUGGGGUAAAAGGGGUAAAAUGAUUCCUUUGAAAAAGAAUGGGAAAAAAGGUUCAGCUAAAAAUGGCAAUGGGAUGAUGAAAAAAGGCAGGAAGCCUUCAAUGAAGGGAAGGAAUGAGGAGGCGUUGUCAGAGGGAAUAAUCGUUCACCAAACCUUUGAUUAUCAAGUCUUAGAGGAUUCAUAGUUCAGAUGUGUCGAUGAUCCUUGUAGAAAUGAAUCAAGUAUAUGAUAAUUUUCUUCUAUUUUACUAUGAAUAGUUGUUAUAUCAUAACUUUUUAGUUGUUUUAAUCUUUUCUGGAUUGCUCCUUAAAAUGUUCAUCAAUAUCUUGUAUAUAUUUCCAUUGUUUUUGUUUCUUUUCUUGAUCAUUUUUUCCAUCAACUAUUCUAGAUAAUUUCAGUAACUUUAAUAAAGGAGGAUUUAAAAUUUA